AAAUUGCGAUAACUAGUGUGAAUUGCAAACUCUGUGAAUCAUUGAGUCUUUGAACGCAUCUUGCGCCUUUUAGACCUCUAAAAGGCAUGUCUGUUUGAGCAUCAUUUGAAACAUCACACGCCCUUUGUAUGCGUACAUUGGGCACGGUGGACUUGAGUGUUGAGCGCACGUCUCUCCAGCAAUGUUGGGGGGAGGCACUCUCACUUGAAAUGCGGCAAGUUUGAAGGCUGCGUGGCAACACGACUAGCUGGCUUUAUUAAUGAUAUCGCCUGCGCUUUAACGUCUGUUACCGCUCAAGCGCUCCUUUGGCGACUUUGCAAACUAGAAGACGGCACUCGUGCCAACAUCUUUGAUCUCAAAUCAGACAAGACUACCCGCUGAACUUAA
rnacentral:misc_RNA from 1 species